rnacentral:rRNA from 1 species
UAGGGAAUCUUCCGCAAUGGACGAAAGUCUGACGGAGCAACGCCGCGUGAGUGAUGAAGGUUCUCGGAUCGUAAAGCUCUGUUGCCAGGGAAGAACAGCGAGGAGAGUAACUGCUUCUCGUGUGACGGUACCUGAGAAGAAAGCCCCGGCUAACUACGUGCCAGCAGCCGCGGUAAUACGUAGGGGGCAAGCGUUGUCCGGAAUUAUUGGGCGUAAAGCGCGCGCAGGCGGCCUUGUAAGUCUAGUGUUUAAUCUCGGAGCUCAACUCCGAUUCGCACUGGAAACUGCAAAGCUUGAGUACAGAAGAGGAAAGUGGAAUUCCACGUGUAGCGGUGAAAUGCGUAGAGAUGUGGAGGAACACCAGUGGCGAAGGCGACUUUCUGGGCUGUAACUGACGCUGAGGCGCGAAAGCGUGGGGAAGCAAACAGGAUUAGAUACCCUGGUAGUCCACGCCGUAAACGAUGAAUGCUAGGUGUUAGGGUUUCAAUACCCUUGGUGCCGAAGUUAACACAUUAAGCAUUCCGCCUGGGAGUACGCUCGC